AGGGUUUGAUUAUGGCUCAGGACGAACGCUGGCGGCGUGCUUAACACAUGCAAGUCGAACGAGAAGAGAUGAGAAGCUUGCUUCUUAUCGAUUCGAGUGGCAAACGGGUGAGUAACGCGUAAGCAACCUGCCCUCUAGAUGGGGACAACAGCUGGAAACGGCUGCUAAUACCGAAUACGUUCUUUCUGUCGCAUGGCAGAGGGAAGAAAGGGAGGCUCUUCGGAGCUUUCGCUGGAGGAGGGGCUUGCGUCUGAUUAGCUAGUUGGAGGGGUAACGGCCCACCAAGGCGACGAUCAGUAGCCGGUCUGAGAGGAUGAACGGCCACAUUGGGACUGAGACACGGCCCAG
rnacentral:rRNA from 1 species